UACGUAGGGUGCGAGCGUUAAUCGGAAUUACUGGGCGUAAAGCGCGCGUAGGCGGCUUUGCAAGUCGGGUGUGAAAUCCCCAGGCUUAACCUGGGAACUGCGUCGGAUACUGGCGGGCUUGAAUCCGGGAGAGGGAUGCGGAAUUCCAGGUGUAGCGGUGAAAUGCGUAGAUAUCUGGAGGAACACCGGUGGCGAAGGCGGCAUCCUGGACCGGCAUUGACGCUGAAUAGCGAAAGCCAGGGGAGCAAACGGG
rnacentral:rRNA from 1 species